GUUAAGCGACUAAGCGUACACGGUGGAUGCCCUGGCAGUCAGAGGCGAUGAAGGACGUGCUAAUCUGCGAUAAGCGUCGGUAAGGUGAUAUGAACCGUUAUAACCGGCGAUUUCCGAAUGGGGAAACCCAGUGUGAUUCGUCACACUAUCAUUAACUGAAUCCAUAGGUUAAUGAGGCGAACCGGGGGAACUGAAACAUCUAAGUACCCCGAGGAAAAGAAAUCAACCGAGAUUCCCCCAGUAGCGGCGAGCGAACGGGGAGCAGCCCAGAGCCUGAAUCAGUGUGUGUGUUAGUGGAAGCGUCUGGAAAGGCGUGCGAUACAGGGUGACAGCCCCGUACACAAAAAUGCACAUACUGUGAGCUCGAUGAGUAGGGCGGGACACGUGGUAUCCUGUCUGAAUAUGGGGGGACCAUCCUCCAAGGCUAAAUACUCCUGACUGACCGAUAGUGAACCAGUACCGUGAGGGAAAGGCGAAAAGAACCCCGGCGAGGGGAGUGAAAAAGAACCUGAAACCGUGUACGUACAAGCAGUGGGAGCACGCUUAGGCGUGUGACUGCGUACCUUUUGUAUAAUGGGUCAGCGACUUAUAUUCUGUAGCAAGGUUAACCGAAUAGGGGAGCCGAAGGGAAACCGAGUCUUAACUGGGCGUUAAGUUGCAGGGUAUAGACCCGAAACCCGGUGAUCUAGCCAUGGGCAGGUUGAAGGUUGGGUAACACUAACUGGAGGACCGAACCGACUAAUGUUGAAAAAUUAGCGGAUGACUUGUGGCUGGGGGUGAAAGGCCAAUCAAACCGGGAGAUAGCUGGUUCUCCCCGAAAGCUAUUUAGGUAGCGCCUCGUGAAUUCAUCUCCGGGGGUAGAGCACUGUUUCGGCAAGGGGGUCAUCCCGACUUACCAACCCGAUGCAAACUGCGAAUACCGGAGAAUGUUAUCACGGGAGGCACACGGCGGGUGCUAACGUCCGUCGUGAAGAGGGAAACAACCCAGACCGCCAGCUAAGGUCCCAAAGUCAUGGUUAAGUGGGAAACGAUGUGGGAAGGCCCAGACAGCCAGGAUGUUGGCUUAGAAGCAGCCAUCAUUUAAAGAAAGCGUAAUAGCUCACUGGUCGAGUCGGCCUGCGCGGAAGAUGUAACGGGGCUAAACCAUGCACCGAAGCUGCGGCAGCGACGCUUAUGCGUUGUUGGGUAGGGGAGCGUUCUGUAAGCCUGUGAAGGUGUACUGUGAGGUAUGCUGGAGGUAUCAGAAGUGCGAAUGCUGACAUAAGUAACGAUAAAGCGGGUGAAAAGCCCGCUCGCCGGAAGACCAAGGGUUCCUGUCCAACGUUAAUCGGGGCAGGGUGAGUCGACCCCUAAGGCGAGGCCGAAAGGCGUAGUCGAUGGGAAACAGGUUAAUAUUCCUGUACUUGGUGUUACUGCGAAGGGGGGACGGAGAAGGCUAUGUUGGCCGGGCGACGGUUGUCCCGGUUUAAGCGUGUAGGCUGGUUUUCCAGGCAAAUCCGGAAAAUCAAGGCCGAGGCGUGAUGACGAGGCACUACGGUGCUGAAGCAACAAAUGCCCUGCUUCCAGGAAAAGCCUCUAAGCAUCAGGUAACAUCAAAUCGUACCCCAAACCGACACAGGUGGUCAGGUAGAGAAUA
rnacentral:rRNA from 1 species